UACGGAGGGGGCUAGCGUUGUUCGGAAUUACUGGGCGUAAAGCGCGCGUAGGCGGACCUGCAAGUCGGGGGUGAAAGCCCGAGGCUCAACCUCGGAACUGCCUUCGAUACUGCGGGUCUCGAGUCCGGGAGAGGUGAGUGGAAUUCCUAGUGUAGAGGUGAAAUUCGUAGAUAUCGCCUGGAACGCCGACGGUGAAAACAGCUCGCUGGGGGUCUUCUGACGCUGAGACACGAAAGCCAGGGGAGCGAACGGG
rnacentral:rRNA from 1 species